GUGCUUGCUUCGGCAGCACAUAUUCUAAAAUUGGAACCAUACAGGGAAGAUUAGCAUGGCUCCUGUACAAGGAUGAUGUGUAGAUUCAUGAAGUGUUCCAUAUUUUU
ensembl:snRNA U6 U6 spliceosomal RNA